rnacentral:rRNA from 1 species
GGUGAACGCUGGCGGCGUGCCUAAUACAUGCAAGUCGAGCGAACAGACGAGGAGCUUGCUCCUCUGACGGUAGCGGCUGACGGGUGAGUAACACGUGGAUAACCUACUUAUAAUACUGGGAUAACUUCGGGAAACCGGAUCUAAUACCGGAUAAUAUAUUGAACCGCAUGGUUCAAGAGUGAAAGACGGUUUUGCUGUCACUUAUAGAUGGAUCCGCGCCGCAUUAGCUAGUUGGUAAGGUAAAGGCUUACCAAGGCGACGAUGCGUAGCCGACCUGAGAGGAUGAUCAGCCACACUGGAACUGAGACACGGUCCAGACUCCUACGGGAGGCAGCAGUAGGGAAUCUUCCGCAAUGGGCGAAAGCCUGACGGAGCCACGCCGCGUGAGUGAUGAAGGUCUUCGGGUCGUAAAGCUCUGUUAUUAGGGAAGAACAAAAGUGUAAGUAACUCUGCACGUUUUGACGGUACCCAAUGAGUAAGCCACGGCUAACUUCGUG